CUAAGCUAAAAAUGAUCCCACGGAGGUUUUUAUUUUCAGACAAUUUCACCCUUGGCGGGGUAGAAAAACAUCAUGGAAAGAGGUCCUAAUACAGCUAAAUGGUUGCAACUGGUGCAUUAAUUCCUGAGGCUGGGUUUUGAACUCCAUCUAAGAAUUUAUAAUAGCAAAGACAAAACACUGGAAAACUCCAGAUUUACCAUGAUCUCAGUAAAAUCAAGAAACCAGAUGACUUGGAGAACCUUUACUUAGAGAGUAAACUGCCUCUAAUACUCUUCCCACAGCAGAAAUUCCAGGAUUUCAAG